CAGAAUUAGGGCAUUAUGUUUAAGUGGUGAUUUGGGGAUAUGUGUCUGAUCUGUUCACUGGACCCUUACUUUUUCAGCAGCAGCUCGCUGGCCGUCAGCUCAUGGGUCAGGGGAGGUAAGAUGCUGGACCCCAGCUUGUCGGUGCGGCUGUCGUCCGGGCUGACUGCCAUACGGUUCUUGCCUGCAGAGUCGUCCUGCGAGCCGAAGGACAGAUGCUCGAAGCUCACAGCCUUGCUGUAGGAGGGUGGGGCCUCCACAUCCCCGUCCAAGGUGGAGAACUGUGUCAGCUCUUCCUCUGGGGUGAGGCUGGCCUCCUCGGCACCCAUGGCUCCCACAUCGUACCCAGUGGCCUCGUACUCCUUGGCCUCCCUGGGCUCAGGCGCCGUGCUCCCUGCCUCCUCCUCCUGCUCAGCCUCCACCUCCUCGAUGGUCUCAGUGGUCCCCUGGCGGCUUGUUGGAUGCCAUGAUGAAGAGAACCCACUGCCUAAAGCCCUCAUCUCCUGGUACCCAAAGGAGCAGUGACUGGCGAGGGAAGAUGGCAGAUCCAGGCCUAGGAUGCUGCUGGGUGAGGAUGCUCAUGAGAGGAGGCACACAGAGGUGUGACACACGCAUAGUUUCAGUUCCCACACAUGGCUCAACCCCAAAGAGGGACAGACAGCCCAAAGAUCCUCUACAGAAAGCAACUGGAAUACUUAUCUUCCAACUUGUGUGCUCAUGGGCUGGCUGACCCAGGGAACAGAAACAGAUCUUUAGAGAUAUAGGUUGCCUGAUUUCCAGGCUGAACGUGGUAGGCUGAACUCUGUCAUCAAGUGAACUCACUAGGAGAGUACUAGGUGCCUGGCCUGCACAGCCAUACACUGUUGGCCAAGGAUCCUGAGGCAGAGAUGGAAGACUUUCAGGAUGCAAUGACCACUGCAAGCCUGGGAGGAGCGAAUUUGAGUUAUUCACUCAUGGAACCUGUUAAAAGAGUUUUUCAGGUCCCAUGUGCUGGAGCACAAGCCAUAACUGCUCCAGUGGGGCCGGCCAUGCUGCUGUGCAUGUUACAGCUAUGUGACCAAGACAGGGGCAGCCAGUGAGGGCGAUAAGCCUGUGAGCAACCAAAAUACUCUCUAAUAAGGACAUUGAGGCUGUUUUGUUUUGUUUUGCCCUAACUCUUUUAGAUGUCACAAUGUCACCAUGGCCUGGACAAAAUGAGGAGACAAUGACAAGAUAAAUUAGAAAAGCAUUGGACGAACACAGUGAGGACUGGGAUGCUGACAUUAACUGGCUGUUGGGUUUUAGAUGAAUCAGUGCCCCUUUCUGGGGCCCCAAUUUUAUGUUUCUGAGAUGAGGGGACUUCGCAUUUCUGUAUUUCAUUUAAUAUUUGCAGAGAUGCAACCCCAUAGCCUGUGCAGUCUCCUGCAGCUUUGCUCAGGUUUUCUUCAUGGGAACCGAUGGUUCUAAUUCAAAAGCCCUGUUUAUCUUGUUAACUCUUGGAUGGAGUUCUCAGAACCCACAUAAUCCCACACAGUUGGGUUCCCGGUAGGGCAACUAAUACAUCACACAAUCCAGGACAGUUUAAAAGUGAAUAGGAAGGGGAGGAAAUGUAUAAAAAUAGGCCCCGACAGUAGGCCCAAGGGGACGGCUGCCAUCACCUGCCUGACGGGCCCCCCCACUGCCAGCACCACAGGAACACACAGCAACCCCUCAGAGGACAUAUUUAAAAUAUUAACCACCUCCUACCUGGGAAUGCCCCUCAGAAUGUUAAUUAAUGUUUUCUGUGUUAUCUGAUUAUAUAAAGCAACCAUUAAAAAAUUUUUGCCAUUUUACAUCUGGAUUUGAAAGAAACCGUGACUAUUCUCGUAAGUCAAAGGGACUACAAAUCCACUUGUUAGGAUCCCACCCAGACUCUGUCUACUGUCUGCUUAAAGGUAAAAUUCAUGCCACUGGCCUCGGAGCAGGGGCCAUGAAGGGCACUGGCCACACUGGGUGAGCAUGACCUCACUGGGGAGUGGCAGCCUCCUGGCCACCAGACCCUUCCCAAUGACUUCCACUGCAGAACCUCUUCUAGGGAGGGUUACUACCUUUCCAGCAAUCAGCAUGGCUCCCUGGAGACUACAGUGUAGACAAAUGAUGAUUUGGAAAUUAGAAAUACAGCUCACUGCAGAAAAGGGCAAGUGAGGUAACUCCUUUACUGGCAACAAGAUAGGCCCUAUUCUGUCUCCCCUUUCUUUAGGUUGAAAAACAAAAUAAAAAUACAUUAAAACCUAAUUCUAAAGGUGCUGGUUUCCUACUAGUUAUUGUAUUUACUGACUGACCAUUUUAAAACUGGGGGGAUAUUUUGACAGUCUUUGUCAAAAAGCAAUCGAUGAAUUUAAAUAUCUCUUAACUCACAAUUUUUUAUCAUGAGUGUGGUUUCCUAUUUGCAAUCUUAGGUCAGAUUUAAAGGCAGUUACUUGAGUUUAUUUUAACCAGUUGUUUUUCCUCCUUAAUUGUGAUUUAUAAUAUUUAAUUUCUUCAUGGGGCAUACUGUUCAUUGUUAUGUAGUUAAAAGUCAUAAAGAUGGGAUUCACCUAUGUUUAUUUUAUGAAAAAUUUAUUUUCAAUUCACCUUUGAAUAUUCUCUGAGGCCACUGAUUCAGAGUUUGGUUCUAGAGCAUCUUUUUUCAAGCCAGGCUCAUGUGUGAUACUCAGGAGGCCUAUAAAACCCUUGAGAUUGUAUGAAAAAAAUUGUAUCUUUGUAUGAUUUUUCCCUGUGGGAGACUAUAU
rnacentral:lncRNA from 10 species